UACGGAGGGUGCAAGCGUUAUCCGGAUUCACUGGGUUUAAAGGGUGCGUAGGAGGGCAGGUAAGUCAGUGGUGAAAUCCCCGAGCUUAACUUGGGAACUGCCGUUGAUACUAUCUGUCUUGAAUAUUGUGGAGGUGAGCGGAAUAUGUCAUGUAGCGGUGAAAUGCUUAGAUAUGACAUAGAACACCAAUUGCGAAGGCAGCUCGCUACACAUAUAUUGAUUCUGAGGCACGAAAGCGUGGGGAUCAAACAGG
rnacentral:rRNA from 1 species